rnacentral:lncRNA from 1 species
UGGUCUCUUUUAAAAGUCGGUGCAUGAGAAUAUUAUGCUACAACCAACCAACAAAAAGGGUUGCCUACUAAGUAUAUAAAAGCUAAAGAAUAUGCAAAGCAUGUAAUUUUUACGACGCAGGAGUUCGGGUUAAAGGGGUUCCCAACCGUGAAUAUUAAAUAAUAUAUACCGAUUUGAUUGGCCAAUAAAUGUUUUAACACACGACGCCAUCAAUUUACGUAAAUAUUUUGGAAAUAUACAGACGAUAUUUCGCAAUCCACGGCUCCUAGGAAAGUUUCUUGUAGUGUAACGUAAAGCGGGAAAUACGCGUUUAUGUAGUUAAAAAUU